rnacentral:rRNA from 1 species
CGGACGGGUGAGUAACACGUGGAUAACUUACCUAUAAGACUGGGAUAACUUCGGGAAACCGGAGCUAAUACCGGAUAAUAUAUUGAACCGCAUGGUUCAAUAGUGAAAGACGGUUUUGCUGUCACUUAUAGAUGGAUCCGCGCCGCAUUAGCUAGUUGGUAAGGUAACGGCUUACCAAGGCAACGAUGCGUAGCCGACCUGAGAGGGUGAUCAGCCACACUGGAACUGAGACACGGUCCAGACUCCUACGGGAGGCAGCAGCG